GACCUCAAGUGAUCCGCCCACCUCAACCUCCCAAAAUGCUGGGAUUACAGGCGUGAGCCACCAUGCCUGGCCUAUCAUUUGCUUUUGAAUGGCAGGAUCCAGAGACUAAAACCACCUUUUACUAUUGUUGAACUAUACUGCUACAAUGGUUUAAGAAUUCUCCAAUGCCGGAGACCAAGAUGGCUGCGAGGCUCAGCGCCUUCCUCAAGAAUGCCUGGGACAAGGAGCCAGUGCUGGUCGCGUCCUUUGUCAUCGGGGGCCUCGCUAUAAUUAUGCCCUCAUUCAGCCCCUACUUCAAGUACUCCAUCAUGAUCAAUGAGGCCACGCCCUACAACUACCCAGUGCCCGUCCGUGAUGAUGAGAACAUGCCGGACGUGCCCAGCCACCCCCAGGACCCUCAGGGCCCCAGCUUGGAGUGGCUGAAGAAACUGUGAGCACCUUCACUGACAGAGGCGGCCCCUCCCACGGCUCCCAAUAAAAAUGUGAACACC